AUUGAACGCUGGCGGCAGGCCUAACACAUGCAAGUCGAACGAGUGGCGGACGGGUGAGUAAUGUCUGGGAAACUGCCUGAUGGAGGGGGAUAACUACUGGAAACGGUAGCUAAUACCGCAUACCAUCGGAUGUGCCCAGCUGGGAUUAGCUUGUGGGUGGGGUAACGGCUCACCAAGGCGACGAUCCCUAGCUGGUCUGAGAGGGUGACCGGCAACACUGGAACGGAGAAACGGUCCAGACUCCUACGGGGGGCAGAAGUGGGGAAUAUUGGACAAUGGGCGCAAGCCUGAUGCAGACAUGCCGCGUGUAUGAGGAAGGCCUUCGGGUUGUAAAGUACGUUCAGCGGGGAGGCGUUACCCGCAGAGGAAGCACCGGCUAACUCCGUGCCAGUAGCCGCGGUAAUAC
rnacentral:rRNA from 1 species